rnacentral:rRNA from 1 species
CCUACGGGAGGCAGCAGUGGGGAAUAUUGGGCAAUGGGCGCAAGCCUGACCCAGCAACGCCGCGUGAAGGAAGAAGGCUUUCGGGUUGUAAACUUCUUUUCUCAGGGACGAAGAAAGUGACGGUACCUGAUGAAUAAGCCACGGCUAACUACGUGCCAGCAGCCGCGGUAAUACGUAGGUGGCAAGCGUUAUCCGGAUUUAUUGGGUGUAAAGGGCGUGUAGGCGGGAGCGCAAGUCAGAUGUGAAAACUCAGGGCUCAACCCUGGGCCUGCAUUGGAAACUGGGUUUCUUGAGUGCUGGAGAGGAAAUCGGAAUUCCGGGUGUAGCAGUGAAAUGCGUAGAUAGACGGAGGAACACCAGUGGCGAAGGCGGAUUGCUGGACAGUAACUGACGCUGAGGCGCGAAAGCGUGGGGAGCAAACAGGAUUAGAUACCCUAGUAGUC